AUGCUCCUCCUCUUCCAUCUCCAUCUCAUGGUCAUCCUCCACCUUCCGACAGGUGCAUGGAGGCCAUGUGGAGCUCAACCAAGUGCCCUAGGCCUACACCCAGGGGUAGGGAGGUGGAGAGGUGUGGGGCAUGCCUUCCCUCUGAGAUCGCCUUCCUUCUACCCCUUCCUUGUGGGGUCGAGGGCAAGGUUUCUCUCCUCUCCACUUUCUCAAUCCUUUGCCUCGACUCUGCCCACCCAAACCCAUUUUCACACUGGACAGAGACAGGCUUAUGGCUGUUUGCAGAAGGAGGCCUCCCACUUCCACGGGCUCCUCCGCUUCCCUCCUCCCUCCCUGAGGGUUUUCACGUCCCUUAGACGGGUCUGUAAUUCAGCCACUGGCCUUAGAAAAGCCAACUGGGGCCUUGCACAAGCCCCCCAGCCCCUCCCCAGCAGGUGUGAUGCAUGGAGCUAUGAAGGGAAACCGAAGAGGAGCUGGUUCUGCAGAGACAACAACAAAAAGGUGAAAACAAAGGCAAAGGGGGAAGGGGAACAAAGAAUUUGAGUGCUUACUAUAUGCUACACCCUGUCACAGACAGGGGUGUUUCCUAAAGUUCACAAGAAAACACAAUUAAAAGUUUACUCUGAGCCGGCGCCACGGCUCACUAGGCUAAUCCUCCACCUAGCGGCGCCGGCACACCGGGUUCUAGUCCCGGUCGGGGCGCCGAAUUCUUUCCUGGUUGCCCCUCUUCCAGGCCAGCUCUCUGCUAUGGCCCAGGAAGGCAGUGGAGAAUGGCCCAAGUGCUUGGGCCCUGCACCCCAUGGGAGACCAGGAUAAGCACCUGGUUCCUGCCUUCGGAUCAGCGUGGUGCGCCGGCCGCGGCGCGCCAGCCGUGGCGGAUAUUGGAGGGUGAACCAACGGCAAAAGGAAGACCUUUCUCUCUGUCUCUCACUAUCCACUCUGCCUGUCCAAAAAAAAAAAAAAAAAAAAAAGUUACCCUGGUGCAAAAAAUCCAUAAUAUGUGGGAAAAGCUUAUGUUGAUAAAACUAAGGAUGGAUUUUUCAAAAAAGAUUUAUACCAAAGUGAAGUUUUAAUUUAAGAUUUCUUGAAGGGCAGAGUGAUGAAAAGAUCUUCCAUUUAUUGGUUUGCUCACCAAUUGGCUGCAACAAGUGAAGUAGGCAGGCGUACGGGUUAAAAUCAAUUAGGUUUGUGAGCUGGAAGACCACGCCUUCGCCACGCCCCUCUGUGACCUCAUGGCCCUACCUGGCCACACCUGGGUGCCCACCAGCUAAUCACGUUAAUUAAUCAGUCCCCUUUGGAAGUGGGCUGAAAGUCUCACCCGUCUCUUUUCCCUGGCCUCUUGCCAGCAGGGGGCUUGCUAUAGCACUACGCUUCCGAGGCACAUGGCCUUCGGGCCACUGCCCUAGGCUUCCUGGCCUGGAUGCUCCUCCACGUGGCUGGUUCCCGGUGCUCGGUAUGAACCCAGAUUUACCUCUUAAAUAAAGCUCUUACUCUCCUUACCUUUCA
rnacentral:lncRNA from 1 species